CAUCGCCGGCGCGGGCAGAGGGGACGUGCUUCCCGGCUCUGUAACCUUGGUUUAAGACAUCACCCUUGCCAAACCCUGUGUGAAGAGGGCAUUUCGUCACAGUAACACCCAAUGGUCUCACGUGGCUGGCAGGAACCAGGAGCAGCCUGAAAGGUGGUGGGGACUGCUACAGAUAUUAAUAAUAGAUAUUCAUAUAGCGAAGGAAGACAACCAUGAAGCCAGCUGUAGAAAUUCACCUUCCACCUCUGGUACAAACAGAAGUCUGUGCUUACAGGAGAGACUAGCAGAGCACCUGACCCUGUCCUUUUUCU
rnacentral:lncRNA from 1 species